AGAGUUUGAUCCUGGCUCAGAGCGAACGCUGGCGGCAGGCCUAACACAUGCAAGUCGAACGGAUCCUUCGGGAUUAGUGGCGGACGGGUGAGUAACACGUGGGAACGUGCCUUUUGGUUCGGAACAACUCAGGGAAACUUGAGCUAAUACCGGAUGUGCCCUUCGGGGGAAAGAUUUAUCGCCAUUAGAGCGGCCCGCGUCUGAUUAGCUAGUUGGUGGGGUAAAGGCCUACCAAGGCUACGAUCAGUAGCUGGUCUGAGAGGAUGAUCAGCCACAUUGGGACUGAGACACGGCCCAAACUCCUACGGGAGGCAGCAGUGGGGAAUCUUGCGCAAUGGGCGAAAGCCUGACGCAGCCAUGCCGCGUGAAUGAUGAAGGUCUUAGGAUUGUAAAAUUCUUUCACCGGGGACGAUAAUGACGGUACCCGGAGAAGAAGCCCCGGCUAACUUCGUGCCAGCAGCCGCGGUAGUACGAAGGGGGCUAGCGUUGCUCGGAAUUACUGGGCGUAAAGGGAGCGUAGGCGGAUAGUUAAGUCAGAGGUGAAAGCCCAGGGCUCAACCUUGGAAUUGCCUUUGAUACUGGCUAUCUUGAGUAUGGGAGAGGUUAGCGGAACUCCGAGUGUAGAGAUGAAAUUCGUAGAUAUUCGGAAGAACACCAGUGGCGAAGGCGGCUAACUGGCCCAUUACUGACGCUGAGGCUCGAAAGCGUGGGGAGCAAACAGGAUUAGAUACCCCAGUAGUCC
rnacentral:rRNA from 1 species